CGGGACGUAGCGCAGCCUGGUAGCGUACUAGCAUGGGGUGCUAGGGGUCGCUGGUUCGAAUCCAGUCGUCCCGA
rnacentral:tRNA from 1 species